UCUAGAGAGAGGAGGUCUCCUUUAUGAACCAAGGCACGUCCUUGAAGGGUAGGGCAAUGUCCUCCCCAUUGCAUUUCUGGGGAAACUGAGGCCCAAGGAAAAAUAGGAAUUGUUCCCCAGUCACACAAUCAGGGCAUGCUAGAGCUGAGGUUGGCACCCAGCUGAGUCUAGAAGUGCCACACCACUGGUUCUGGCCCUCUGUGCUGUGCUCUUGGCCCUCCCUGCAGCAAUUCAGCACACACUACAGAGCCUGCCCAGUGCAGACAGCAGCAUUUAACCAGCAUCACUCCUGACACAACCUCAGGGAGGGCGGCAGGGCACUGAUGACUGAACAAAAGGAGCACCAGGAAACAGAUCAUAGAAACAGAAAGAGGAACACGUAGGAGGAAAAGGAGGGUGUGUGAGUCGGGGAGCAGGAGGGUACGCGUGGGAGAGGGAAACAGAGAGGUAAGGAGAGGCAGAAAGUUAGAGAAAGAAAAAAGAGAGGUGAUGAGGUGCCCAGAAUGAGUGGAAAGAAAGGAUAAGAUCACCUCCCUCCCCCAGCGAGCUCCGAGCCCCUCCCAGGACAAAGCCUGUGGGGCAGAGAGAGGAUUGCAUCAGAAAGGAGAAGGAGGGAGGAAGGGUGGGAGGGCUGCUUGGGGGAGCAGGGCAAAGGUGGAGUGGGUAUUACAGUCUGUUUCUGGGAGGCAUCUCCUGCCAUCCCACAAUGCCUCAAGCUCCCUGAGUGGCCUAGCACAAACACACCAGCCUGCCUCCCACCGUGAUGUGGCACUUCUAGACUCAGGUGGGCUAAUCUGCAAUGGGACGCUAAGCAAACACCCCCUCAGUCAGAGAGAUGAGAUAGCACUACCCUCCCUGAGUGCCUGACCAGUCCUCCAUCCUCACCCGUGGCUGCCAGAACACAAGCUUCCUUUCAUUCCUCAUGGUCUGUUCUGACCCUCAUCUCCACCUCUCCAGAGUCAUCACUCCUUCCGGCCCAAGGGGAGACGCAGCUGCUGAAAGAACCCGACGCCGCCUCCACUGCGCCACUGUCUGGCCCCUACUCUUCAGCCCUUCCUCAUCUAGAGCUGGAUCUGACACCAAAGGCGUCUUGUGAGCAGUGUCAUGAUCGAGAAUGAAUACUCUGGAUUUGGUGGCUGGCUCCUCGUGAAGAAGAAUUCAAUCAGAUUCCAUUUGAUUAACCUGCAUUGAGAUCCUAGUACAUGUCCGACACUAUGCAGAAAUACUUCACUCCCUCUUCCAUGGCAGACCACGAUGAACUAGGGUUUGCUGUUUUCACGGCUUCUGUCACUGUUGGAGCUGAGACUGAGGCUGCAGCAGGAGCUCCUCUGGCCCCAAGGCAAAAGACAUGUUCUCUGCAUCCCCAGAGGACCCACAGCAACUUCUGGUUUGGGUUAAAGAGGACUUGGGUGACCCCACCCUGCCAGUCAUCCACCCUCUGGCAGCCAGGGCAGCAGCAGGGGAGGGGGCAGGAGGGCCACAGUGCUUCUCUCCCCUGCCAUUUCCUCUGCAGCUCCCUCUCUGGCCCUGUUUUUCAGACCUCUAGUAAUAAAAACAAGCCAAUAAAAUGAACAUGAAAAUA